CGUGCUGAUCAUGUUGUAGUCUCAUUAUUUGAGUCCAGGUCUGCCCUCCGUCUCCACUCCCCAUUCCUUGAUGGAAUUUGUGCGUAUGUGUACCCCGGCCCACAGCAUGGAGCGGGCGGUAGGUUGAGCCCUUCCUACAUGCCACGGCUAACACUGAAUGCUUUAAGACAUGCCAGGUCUUAUUCUGAGCGUGUUACCUGAAAACACUCCUAAAAUCCUGCUGACAAACUUAUGAGGCAGGUACUGUCAUAUUCCCCAUUUUGUAGAUGAGAAAACAGGGGUACACAGAGAUAUUAGGUCCCUGACCAAGGUCGCAUACCAGUAAGGGAUAUGGCUGGAUUCUCACCAAGGCAUCUGUCAACAAAGCCUGGCCUCUCCACUCCAUAGCCUUAUGCCUCUCUCAAUGUGCACUGGAUCACUCAGUGACAGAGUGCUUGUUCUUAAGGAAACGAUAAUCUGGUUGAGCUGAUGAGCUGCACAGCACACACAGGAUACACCUGGGUAAUGAAGGACGGCAUAUGAUUAAGAACUAAGGCAUGGCACAGAUGAUAGGUGCUGUAAGCGUCUAAGGUGGCAGCUCUUGAUGGAUGUUAGCGUGCUAACCAGGGAAGACUUCCUGGAGAAGAUGUGACUGUUUUUGAGAUUUGAAGGCUGUAAAGGCCUUUAGGUGGUAAAGAGGUGCGAGUUAUUUCCAUUGUGAGGAGGGUGAAGAAGUGGGGAAUAGAGUUCACCUGGCAGGAUAGGCAAUCCCGGGCAAAGGAAUGGUAGGAGAGGUUAUCUAGAUAGGUGGGGGCCUUGAAAGCCGCCUGAGAAAUAUAAAUACAACCCAAAGGAAAAAUAUGGUUAUUUGGUUUAGUGUGUGGCUUAGAAAAUCGUCUUCUUUGAGUGUGUUCAACAUUCUAGAAAAUGGAACGUGGUCAGAAGAAGGGCCUUGCUGUUUCAGCACAGCAGAGAGCUACAACAUCCCCCUCCCUUUGCAAUGCAACAGCUGGGCCCACGUCCUUCCUGGGACUUCUGGGAAUGGAGAAGCUGCUACAGCCUGAGGUCAGCAAAGUCUUAGGAUCAGGAGGACAUGAGCGGCAGUUUAUCUGUAUUUAACAGGGGCUGGUGUCUGAGUUUACCUGGCUGGCAGUCCUGGAUACCGGCGACUACAUCAACACACGAGUUUCUUGGAUUAAGAAUUCAGCCUCCCAUGUUAAGAUCCAGAGAAUCCAGCUAAAUUCAGUGAUUCUUCCCCGAGCUCCCCACAAAAGGCUUUUGAAGGCUGCAACACCAGAGAAGAGAAGGGAGUCCAGAACUGACCUGGGAGUGUGGAGAUCCAGAUUUAGAACUCAGCUCAGCUCCUCAUGAAGUGUGAUCAUGGGAAGAUCCUUUACCCUCAAUUCGUCUAAGGUUUCCCCAUCCUAGAAAUGGUUCUCACUGCCCCCUAUUCUUUUCUUUCACAACACUUAUCUCAAUUGUCAUCAUCUCAGGUCUGAUUCCUGCUCUAGGGUUGGUGGGUAAGGGCACAGAUGGGCUCUGGAGCUACCCUGCCUGGCUUCCAGCCCUGGCUCCACCACUUGCUAACUUAUUAAAGUUAUUUAGUCGCUUUGUGCUUCAGUUUCCUCAUCUGUACAAUGAGGAUAAUGAUAGAAGCUAUCUCAGAAGUAGGAUAAGUGAGUUAAUAGGUGU
ensembl:lncRNA